UACGGGGGGGCAAGCGUUGUUCGGAAUUACUGGGCGUAAAGGGCUCGUAGGUGGCCAACUAAGUCAGACGUGAAAUCCCUCGGCUUAACCGGGGAACUGCGUCUGAUACUGGAUGGCUUGAGUUUGGGAGAGGGAUGCGGAAUUCCAGGUGUAGCGGUGAAAUGCGUAGAUAUCUGGAGGAACACCGGUGGCGAAGGCGGCGAUCCUGGACCAACACUGACACUGAGGAGCGAAAGCCAGGGGAGCAAACGGG
rnacentral:rRNA from 1 species